rnacentral:rRNA from 1 species
CUACGGGGGGCUGCAGUGGGGAAUAUUGGACAAUGGGGGAAACCCUGAUCCAGCAAUGCCGCGUGUGUGAAGAAGGCCUGCGGGUUGUAAAGCACUUUCGGUUGGGAGGACUGCUUCUAGCACUAAUAUUGUUGGAAGUUGACGUUACCUUCAGAAGAAGCACCGGCUAACUCCGUGCCAGCAGCCGCGGUAAUACGGAGGGUGCAAGCGUUAAUCGGAAUUACUGGGCGUAAAGCGCGCGUAGGCGGCUAGAUCAGUCGGGUGUGAAAGCCCCGGGCUUAACCUGGGAACUGCAUCCGAUACUGUCUAGCUUGAGUACAGGAGAGGAGAGUGGAAUUCCACAUGUAGCGGUGAAAUGCGUAGAUAUGUGGAGGAACACCAAUGGCGAAGGCAGCUCUCUGGCCUGAUUCUGACGCUGAGGUGCGAAGGCGUGGGGAGCAAACAGGAUUAGAUACCCGUGUAGUC